rnacentral:rRNA from 1 species
UACGUAGGCAGCGAGCGUUGUUCGGAGUUACUGGGCGUAAAGGGUGUGUAGGCGGUUGUUUAAGUUUGGUGUGAAAUUUCCCGGCUCAACUGGGAGGGUGCGCCGAAUACUGAAUGACUAGAGUGCGGGAGAGGUGAGUGGAAUUCCUGGUGUAGCGGUGAAAUGCGUAGAUAUCAGGAGGAACACCGGUGGUGUAGACGGCUCACUGGACCGUAACUGACGCUGAGACACGAAAGCGUGGGUAGCAAACAGG